AGUCCUGUAGCUCAGUGGUUAGAGCACUUGCCUUCCAAGCAAGACACUUGGGUUCAAUUCCCGGCAGGGCGA
rnacentral:tRNA from 1 species